UAAACACCCCCUUACCAUUUAGUUUUCCCUCAUCUCUCUCCAUCCUUCUUUUCAUACCUUUGUAGAAACCCUAACUCAUACUUAUGAACAAGAACAAAUCAUUCAAAUACACACACAAAAGUCACAGAUUAUAAACCCUCAUCUCCUUUAACUCUCGUUCUUCUGGUUCGAUAACCAGAGCCAGAUUCCAGCGACACUCCGGUGAUAUUUCAGCUCUGAUAUUCCGGCCACUCACGCACACUCAACCACCCUCUUAACUCCUUGAUUUUCGGUGUGAACAGUGGCGUCGACGAAACAUAUUAGCGACAAAGAUAUCUAAGGGAGACUGAGAGAGAGAAACCGGAGAGUUUAGAGGAGAGCCGCCGCCGUCGACGGUGGCGUGGCGACGAUCGGAGUCGCGGUCCGACGGUGAGCACAUUUCAGGUCAGGUUCAUUUCAGCUUGGUUGUUCGAAUGGUAUGCAGUUUUGUUUUGUUUCGGGUUUUAUCUCGGGUCUUGCAGUCUCAGUUAUAGUUCAGCGGAUCAGAUUGGUUUUGGUGGUCGACAACGGCAGUAAUACUCCGAUGGGUUACCGGCGGUGGCCGACGGCAACGGUGGUGUUUGGUCCGGGUUCUGGUCCGGAUUCAAUUCAGUCUAUGCAGAUGUGAUGUUGGUCCAUGUUUCGGGUUCGGUACGGUCAGGCGGUUCGGAUGACUCAAACGAGUCAACUCGGUCGGUGAGUCAACUCGGGUCAGACGAGUUAACUUGGUUCGGUUCAGGUUCGGGUCAACAUAAGUCAACAACGGUCAACAGUUCUGAUUGACUCGGUCAACUGAGGUCAAACUCAGUCAACACGAGACGCGGUAAAGUUUUAGUGACGCGGAAAUUAGUUUAGAUUUUUAGUAUAGUUAUACGCGACCGAGCUCGAACCGACAUCUCGUUACAAGAUUUUAUAUUUAGUCGAUAGUUUAUUACGCGGCGAAAGUUUUAUAUUUGA